UUCCCGUACGAUAUGAGCUGCUUAGCCUCCGCCUUCCAUCCUUCCGAGCUGCCACCCCUUCGCCGUCUUCCCAGUCCUCCCCACCCCUCAGCAUCCCAACCGUGCUACCCACCCCUCAGUCUCCGAUGCUGCAUGAAGGAUUUCCCCCUCUUCCCGCGGGAUACGCACCAAAAUCGCUCUCAUAAUAAUGGACUGCGACGCUCGCUGUAAAUUGACACUCUAAUGACAUUUUAUUUAGACUUCAAAUAUGAAUCAUGCGUCUGAUAUUCCAUCUGUGUCUGCUCGCUACCAUAUUUAUUUCCGUGCCAUCUUCUAUCGCCUCAGCCUCAACGGUUUCCAGCCCCGUACAUAAUGACGAUCUCAGGGGUCAGCACAUGUCUGAGACCCGGCGAGAAGCGACAGCAGCAGCACCGGGCAAUUCCACGGGAAGAGAAACCGUAGACUAUGAGGUCACCGUCACAUAUCCCUCCCGGCUCAUCUACUUCUUGAAUGAGGAGUCGGAGAGCACGGAUCAUGACCUGGACACUCGGGCGAGGAACCAGGCCGGUGAUGGACAGGUUGUCCACCUGGCCCAAGCAAGUAUCCAGCUGGACGCCUUUGGCACCACAUUCACUUUGGACCUUACUUUGAACAGUGAUCUGCUCUCUUCAGAUUAUAUGGAAAUCCACUAUGAGAAAGACAAGCCCGUUCUCUCCAGGGGUGGGGAACACUGCUAUUACCAUGGCCGCGUAAGAGGAAAAGAAGACUCCCGUGUAGCUUUAUCCACCUGCGACGGGCUUCAUGGGAUGUUUGAUGAUGGUGAUUUUGUCUAUCUCAUCGAGCCUCUGAAACAGACUCACACCAUGGAAACAGAAGCACGACCCCACACUUUGCGCCGAACAUCUUCGCUCCAUGUGACCUCUCUCCCAGGUGACUGGGCUGCUGAUGACCCAUUUGAGGAAAAAGAAGAGGUGAAACGUAUUGUUGCUAGCAUGCCUUGGCUAAAGAGAAGGAGGAAAAGAGCUAUGCCGCGUAACAUUUUUGAGGAAAUGAAGUAUCUGGAAAUAAUGAUUGUCGCUGACCACAAAACGUUUAAAAGGCAUAAGAGUAAAAAGCAUACCAGGAACUUUGCCAAAUCAGUUGUCAACUUUGUAGAUGCUAUUUUUAAGGAGCAGCUGAAUACACGUGUGGUAUUAGUUGCUGUGGAGAUUUGGACUGACAGGGACCGGAUUCCGCUGAGCGUGAAACCAUUGGAAAUGUUAAGAGAUUUUUCAAAGUAUAGACAACAGAACAUUAACAUGAACGCUGAUGCCGUGCACCUCUUCACGAAUGUGACAUUUCAUUACGGUCGGAGCGGUGUUGCGUAUAUUGGUGGUGUGUGUUCCAAAGAAAGAGGAAUUGGUGUUAAUGAGUUUGGUAGCACAUGGACAAUGGCUGCCUCUCUCUCUCAGAGCUUAGCACAGAAUCUGGGUAUCCAAUGGGAUCCUCUGACCAGGAGGAAGGAGUGCGGCUGCAUGGAAUCAUGGGUGGGAUGUAUAAUGGAAGACACUGGAGUGCAACACCCGCGCAGGUUUUCCAAAUGCAGCAUUACUGACUACAGGAACUUUCUUCUAAGAGGUGGUGCUUCAUGUCUGUUUAACAAACCCAACAAGCUCUUUGAGGCUACAGAAUGUGGGAAUGGUUAUGUAGAAGUGGGAGAGGAGUGUGACUGUGGGGCCCGAAUGGAGUGCUAUAAAGACUGCUGUAAAAAAUGUUCUUUGUCUAAUGGAGCGCACUGCAGUGACGGCCCCUGCUGCAACAACACAUGCCUGUUCUACCCACGCGGAUACAGCUGUCGAUAUGCUGUGAAUGAUUGUGACAUAUCAGAGACUUGUUCAGGAGAUUCGGGACAGUGCCCCCCUAAUCUUCAUAAGCAAGAUGGCUACUCUUGUCAGCUCAAUCAGGGUCGCUGUUACAGUGGUGAAUGUAAGACCCGGGACAGUCAGUGCAAAUACAUCUGGGGUCCAAAGGCUGGAGGGUCAGAAAAGUACUGUUAUGAGAAGUUAAACACAGAGGGGACAGAAAAAGGGAACUGUGGGAGAGAUGGAGACAAAUGGGUGCCCUGCAGCAAACACGAUGUGUUCUGCGGGUACCUGCUGUGCUCUAACAUUGGGAGAAUCCCAAGGAUCGGGACCCUGAAAGGCGACGUCACUCCCACCACAUUUAACCAUCAGGGGCGACUGGUGGAUUGCAGUGGGGGACAUGUGCUGUUGGAUGAUGACACUGAUCUAGGGUAUGUUGAAGAUGGUACGCCGUGUGGCCCCUCGAUGAUGUGCCUUGAACGGAAAUGUCUACCCAUCUCCUCACUGAACCUCACAGCCUGUCCUUCUGGCCCAGGUGGCCGAGUCUGCUCUUCUCACGGUGUGUGUAAUAAUGAAGCAACCUGCACCUGUGAUGCUACAUGGGCAGGAACUGACUGCAGCAUGCACGACCCCCCAAAAGAGCCGCCCGUCAUCGAGGACCCAGGUCCCAAGGUGAGCGUGGCCACAAACAGGCUGAUAGGGGCAGUGGCAGGGACCAUUCUGGCCCUGGGGGUGAUUUUUGGAGGCACAGGGUGGGGAAUAGAGUCCUAGCGCCACCAACCUUAUCAUAGGCUCCAUCGCAGGGGCCAUCCUGAUGGCAGCCAUAGUGCUGGGGGGGACGGGAUGGGGAUUUAAGGUGAGAGUUUGAACGGAGAGGGGUGGAGGUUGUGUCGUAGGCAGCCUUUGUGCCAUGGCUGGCUGCCACACCCUCUUAUCUCCCGGAAGGCCCUGGGCCACCCUGAAAUCCUAGAACAGAGCAAGAGCCCUCACCCCCCACCCGGACUCGCCCGGCACCGCUGCCUUUACUGCCUGCUUCACAGAGACCUGAAAUGUCAAGAAAAGACGAUAUGACCCUAACGCCAGUGCCAUCUAAAGAGGCUAAGAGAACUGCAUCCUUGCCUAGUGUGCCCCUGGGUUCAGUCAGAACCCGCCGGACUGUACCCUCUCCUGCUGCUGACGCCGCUGUCGACAGUGUUGGCGUUACUUGAAUAUAAAAGGACAGAAAGCAACAGAAGAAAGGGACAGAACAGUCGAACAUUUUUCAUCUGAAGUCACAUAGAACUGCUUCUCUAGCGCUGCACCCGUUCCUUUGCAUCCACACUGAGGCCAUUUAGCAACCCUGAUAACUGGUAGUGGAUGGUACCACUCAUCGGGACAUGACUUUAAGUUUACACGACCCGACCUCCAGUUCCGAUCCAGGCAUGACCAACUUCAGCUGUGGACCUCGCAUGGCAGAGGAGGGACACCAAUGCAAGACAAACAUAUUGUUAAUUAAAAAAAGAAGAAUGAUUUAAGUUCCAGUAGGUUGGUAACACAUCCAUGUGUUUCAAUGGGCUAAAUGACAUUUCAAGGCAUAACUUUAACGUUUUUAGUUAUUUCAGCAUGUUAUAAUU